CAUGCAUUGGUGGGGUCCCUCGGCCUGGUUUGCACCCUCUCGCAAUCCGAGACCCCUCGGGGGAUGUCGGAGAGCCAGUUUCGGCCUGAUCCCGCAGGCCAGGCCGAGGGACCCCACUGGUGCACC
rnacentral:pre_miRNA from 1 species